CCUAACAGCCCCACCGCCCUGAGCACCCCCCAUCUUGUCUGAUCUUGGAAGCUAAGCAGGGUUAGGGCUGGUUAGUACUUGGAUGGGAGACCGCCUGGGGAUACCAGAUGCUGUAAGUU
rnacentral:rRNA from 1 species